GACGAACGCUGGCGGCGUGCUUAACACAUGCAAGUCGAACGGUAAGGCCCUUCGGGGUACACGAGUGGCGAACGGGUGAGUAACACGUGGGUGAUCUGCCCUGCACUUCGGGAUAAGCCUGGGAAACUGGGUCUAAUACCGGAUAGGACCACUGCCUGCAUGGGGGGUGGGGGAAAGCUUUUGCGGUGUGGGAUGGGCCCGCGGCCUAUCAGCUUGUUGGAGGGGUGAUGGCCUACCAAGGCGACGACGGGUAGCCGGCCUGAGAGGGUGACCGGCCACACUGGGACUGAGAUACGGCCCAGACUCCUACGGGAGGCAGCAGUGGGGAAUAUUGCACAAUGGGCGCAAGCCUGAUGCAGCGACGCCGCGUGAGGGAUGACGGCCUUCGGGUUGUAAACCUCUUUCAGCACCGACGAAGCGCAAGUGACGGUAGGUGCAGAAGAAGGACCGGCCAACUACGUGCCAGCCGCCGCCGUAA
rnacentral:rRNA from 1 species